CAUAGGUGGCGAACGUUAUCCGGAUUUAUUGGGCGUAAAGGAUGCGUAGAUGGUGGAAUAAGUUAUUAGUCAAAGUCAAGCUCAACUUGGCGGAAGCUGGUAAUACUAUUCUACUUGAGGACAGGAGAGGUUGGCGGAAUUCUGUGUGGAGCGGUGAAAUGCGUUGAUCUACAGAGGAACACCAAAAAAGGCGAAGGCAGCCAACUAUUCUGCUCCUGACAUUGAGGCAUGAAAGCGUGGGGAGCAAACCGGAUUAGAUACCCGGGUAGUCCACGCCCUAAACGAUGAGUAUUAGACAUUGGACAUUAGUUUAGUGUCGCAGCUAACGCUUUAAAUACUCCGCCUGGGUAGUACGGUCGCAAGGCUG
rnacentral:rRNA from 1 species